GAUGAACGCUGGCGGCAUGCUUAACACAUGCGAGUCGAACGGGAAGUGGUGUUUCCCGUGGCGAACGGGUGAGUAACGCGUAAGAACCUGCCCUUGGGAGGGGAACAACAACUGGAAACGGUUGCUAAUACCCCGUAGGCUGAGGAGCAAAAGGAGAAAUCCGCCCAAGGAGGGGCUCGCGUCUGAUUAGCUAGUUGGUGAGGUAAUAGCUUACCAAGGCGAUGAUCAGUAGCUGGUCCGAGAGGAUGAUCAGCCACACUGGGACUGAGACACGGCCCAGACUCCUACGGGAGGCAGCAGUGGGGAAUUUUCCGCAAUGGGCGAAAGCCUGACGGAGCAAUGCCGCGUGGAGGUGGAAGGCCUACGGGUCGUCAACUUCUUUUCUCGGAGAAGAAACAAUGACGGUAUCUGAGGAAUAAGCAUCGGCUAACUCUGUG
rnacentral:rRNA from 1 species